rnacentral:lncRNA from 1 species
UGAAAAAUCUUCUUACUUACUCUGAAACUCGUUUCGUUCAAAAGUCCAAACACUCUCUGUUUUUCUUCUUGUGAUAUGUUUUCAUUCCACAAGCUACUCAAAGACAUCACCCUACAAGCCUACAAAGGUAACGUUUUUGUUUACUUUGCUUAAACUACAAUGCUUACGACAUCUUGCAUAUGUUCUUACGAAGUUUUAAGAAAAAAGCAUUUGAGAUAUGUAUCUGAUAGGUCACAAAAUACUGAUAAGAUGGGUAAAGAAGUUAAUGAAAUUAACUCUAAAACUGAGGUUCUGUCUUUUGAUGUUUUAGUGAAUCUCUCACCGUUCGUUGAUUUGAUAGAGUACUCUUAGAAUUUAGAUCAUACUCUGUCUCGUUCUAAGAAAUACAUUGGUUAAAGAUCACUGAAAACGAUUUUGUUAUAAUGUACAUAGAAUUUUGUUUAACUUGUACCAAAAUUUCAGAAAUGGAUUGAAACGGAUGAUCAUUAAUCUGAUUUUGUCAUUUUGCAGCGGUUUAUGUUGAACACAAAAUCAAAUGGAGUGUGUUACUUACGUAAAGGCUUAAAAAGGGAAAAUGAUCUGAUCCGUCACAUUCAUAUCCUUUAAAAGUGGUAGACGGAGUGAUGAUAAUGGAGUCAUGGAGGGAGAAUGUUACGGAGCAGAGAAAUCUAAAUUUGAAGGUGCUAGACAGGCAAUAAUGAUUUGAGUAUAGGGAUAUGCGCAGAAUGCUUGUAAGAUGUAUGUGUAGGGUGUGAUAUGCUUGUAUAGAUGCAAUAAAUGUGUAAGAUGUGAAUAGUGUACAUGAAUGUGUAGGAAGUGGAUGGUGUAGAUGAAUGUGUAAGAAGUGAAUAGUGUACAUGAAUGUGUAGGAAGUGGAUGGUGUAGAUGAAUGUGUAAGAUGUGGCUGGCGAUGUGGAUGGCGUAGAUGAAUGAGGGUGGUGUAGAUGAAUGUGUGGGAUGUGGAUGGUGUAGAUGAAUGUAUAGGAUGUAGUAUCUAGAGCAAAAUUGACUGAGAUAUUUUACGACUAGAGAUAUAUAUAUGUUCGCAUUGUCCAAAUAUUUAGACUACUUAAAAUUAAAAAGAAGAAAAAAAUUCGAUAAAAUCUAAUUUCAAACAUUCAAAUCUAGAUUGAUCGCAAAAUUUGA